GAACGCACAUUGCGCCCCUUGGUAUUCCAUGGGGCAUGCUUGUUCGAGCGUCAUUUGUACUCUCAAGCUUUGCUUGGUGUUGGGUGUUUGUCCUUGCCUCUGCGUUUGGACUCGCCUUAAAUGAAUUGGCAGCCGAUGUAUUGGUUUGAAGCGCAGCACAAUUUGCGGUUCUGACUGGUUAUCAUUAGCGUCCAUGAAGCACAAUUAACACUUUUGACCUCGGAUCAAGUAGGGAUACCCGCUGAACUUAAG
rnacentral:misc_RNA from 1 species